rnacentral:rRNA from 1 species
AACGAACGCUGGCGGCAUGCCUAACACAUGCAAGUCGAACGAGACCUUCGGGUCUAGUGGCGCACGGGUGCGUAACGCGUGGGAACCUGCCCUUAGGUUCGGAAUAACUCCCCGAAAGGGGUGCUAAUACCGGAUAAUGUCUUCGGACCAAAGAUUUAUCGCCUUUGGAUGGGCCCGCGUUGGAUUAGCUAGUUGGUAGAGUAAAAGCCUACCAAGGCGACGAUCCAUAGCUGGUCUGAGAGGAUGAUCAGCCACACUGGGACUGAGACACGGCCCAGACUCCUACGGGAGGCAGCAGUAGGGAAUAUUGGACAAUGGGCGAAAGCCUGAUCCAGCAAUGCCGCGUGAGUGAUGAAGGCCUUAGGGUUGUAAAGCUCUUUUACCCGGGAUGAUAAUGACAGUACCGGGAGAAUAAGCUCCGGCUAACUCCGUG